rnacentral:rRNA from 1 species
AUUGAACGCUGGCGGCAUGCCUUACACAUGCAAGUCGAACGGCAGCACGGGUGCUUGCACCUGGUGGCGAGUGGCGAACGGGUGAGUAAUACAUCGGAACAUGUCCUGUAGUGGGGGAUAGCCCGGCGAAAGCCGGAUUAAUACCGCAUACGAUCCACGGAUGAAAGCGGGGGACCUUCGGGCCUCGCGCUAUAGGGUUGGCCGAUGGCUGAUUAGCUAGUUGGUGGGGUAAAGGCCUACCAAGGCGACGAUCAGUAGCUGGUCUGAGAGGACGACCAGCCACACUGGGAGUGAGACACGGCCCAGAGUCCUAAGGGAGGCAGCAGAGGGGAAUUUUGGACAAUGGGCGAAAGACUGAUCCAGCAAGGCCGCGUGUGAGAAGAAGGCCUUCGGGGUGUAAAGAACUUUUGUCCGGAAAGAAAUCCUUGACUCUAAUACAGUCGGGGGAUGACGGUACCGGAAGAAGAAGCACCGGCUAACUACGUG